AGCAGCCGCGGUAAUUCCAGCUCCAAUAGCGUAUAUUAAAGUUGUUGCAGUUAAAAAGCUCGUAGUUGAAUUUCGGGAUCGUCAGGUUGGUCUUGCCUCUGGUAAGUACUGGUUUCGGUGGUUCCUCCUUCUUGUAGAACCGUAAUGCCAUUAAUUUGGUGUUGCGGGGAAACAGGACUGUUACUUUGAAAAAUUAGAGUGUUUAAAGCAGGCGAUCGCUUGAAUACAUUAGCAUGGAAUAAUGAAAUAGGACGUUCGAUCCUAUUUUGUUGGUUUCUAGGAUUGACGUAAUGAUUAAUAGGGAUAGUUGGGGGCAUUAGUAUUCAAUUGUCAGAGGUGAAGUUCUUGGAUUUAUUGAAGACUAACUACUGCGAAAGCAUUUGCCAAGGAUGUUUUCAUUAAUCAAGAACGAAAGUUAGGGGAUCGAAGACGAUCAGAUACCGUCGUAGUCUUAACCAUAAACUAUGCCGACUAG
rnacentral:rRNA from 1 species